GUUGCCCAGACAACUAGGAUGUUGGCUUAGAAGCAGCCAUCAUUUAAAGAGUGCGUAAUAGCUCACUAGUCGAGUGACACUGCGCCGAAAAUGUACCGGGGCUAAACAUAUUACCGAAGCUGUGGAUUGUCCUUUGGACAAUGGUAGGAGAGCGUUCUAAGGGCGUCGAAGCAUGAUCGCAAGGACAUGUGGAGCGCUUAGAAGUGAGAAUGCCGGUGUGAGUAGCGAAAGACGGGUGAGAAUCCCGUCCACCGAUUGACUAAGGUUUCCAGAGGAAGGCUCGUCCGCUCUGGGUUAGUCGGGUCCUAAGCUGAGGCCGACAGGCGUAGGCGAUGGAUAACAGGUUGAUAUUCCUGUACCACCUAGUAUCGUUUUAAUCGAUGGGGGGACGCAGUAGGAUAGGCGAAGCGUGCUGUUGGAGUGCACGUCCAAGCAGUAAGGCUGAGUGUUAGGCAAAUCCGGCACUCAUAAGGCUGAGCUGUGAUGGGGAGAGGAAAUUGUUUCCUCGAGUCGUUGAUUUCACACUGCCGAGAAAAGCCUCUAGAUAGAUAACAGGUGCCCGUACCGCAAACCGACACAGGUAGUCAAGAUGAGAAUUCUAAGGUGAGCGAGCGAACUCUCGUUAAGGAACUCGGCAAAAUGACCCCGUAACUUCGGGAGAAGGGGUGCUCUUUAGGGUUCACGCCCAGAAGAGCCGCAGUGAAUAGGCCCAAGCGACUGUUUAUCAAAAACACAGGUCUCUGCUAAACCGUAAGGUGAUGUAUAGGGGCUGACGCCUGCCCGGUGCUGGAAGGUUAAGAGGAGUGGUUAGCUUCUGCGAAGCUACGAAUCGAAGCCCCAGUAAACGGCGGCCGUAACUAUAACGGUCCUAAGGUAGCGAAAUUCCUUGUCGGGUAAGUUCCGACCCGCACGAAAGGCGUAACGAUUUGGGCACUGUCUCAACGAGAGACUCGGUGAAAUCAUAGUACCUGUGAAGAUGCAGGUUACCCGCGACAGGACGGAAAGACCCCGUGGAGCUUUACUGUAGCCUGAUAUUGAAAUUCGGCACAGCUUGUACAGGAUAGGUAGGAGCCUUUGAAACGUGAGCGCUAGCUUACGUGGAGGCGUUGGUGGGAUACUACCCUAGCUGUGUUGGCUUUCUAACCCGCACCACUUAUCGUGGUGGGAGACAGUGUCAGGCGGGCAGUUUGACUGGGGCGGUCGCCUCCUAAAAGGUAACGGAGGCGCUCAAAGGUUCCCUCAGAAUGGUUGGAAAUCAUUCAUAGAGUGUAAAGGCAUAAGGGAGCUUGACUGCGAGACCUACAAGUCGAGCAGGGUCGAAAGACGGACUUAGUGAUCCGGUGGUUCCGCAUGGAAGGGCCAUCGCUCAACGGAUAAAAGCUACCCCGGGGAUAACAGGCUUAUCUCCCCCAAGAGUUCACAUCGACGGGGAGGUUUGGCACCUCGAUGUCGGCUCAUCGCAUCCUGGGGCUGUAGUCGGUCCCAAGGGUUGGGCUGUUCGCCCAUUAAAGCGGUACGCGAGCUGGGUUCAGAACGUCGUGAGACAGUUCGGUCCCUAUCCGUCGUGGGCGUAGGAAAUUUGAGAGGAGCUGUCCUUAGUACGAGAGGACCGGGAUGGACAUACCUCUGGUGUACCAGUUGUCGUGCCAACGGCAUAGCUGGGUAGCUAUGUAUGGACGGGAUAAGUGCUGAAAGCAUCUAAGCAUGAAGCCCCCCUCAAGAUGAGAUUUCCCAACUUCGGUUAUAAGAUCCCUCGAAGAUGACGAGGUUAAUAGGUUCGAGGUGGAAGCGUGGUGACACGUGGAGCUGACGAAUACUAAUCGAUCGAAGACUUAAUCAAUUUUUAAA
rnacentral:rRNA from 1 species